GGGGAUGUAGCUCAGCUGGCUAGAGCGCUUGACUGGCAGUCAAGAGGUCGUGGGUUCGAGUCCCAUCUUCUCCA
rfam:Bacteroidetes bacterium MedPE-SWsnd-G2 Bacteroidetes-MedPE-SWsnd-G2-C12, whole genome shotgun sequence.